GGACUGGUAACUCAGUGGUAGAGUGUAGGACUGCAGUGUGUUUGUGCCUUAAAACAGCACAACAUCAAAAAAUACCGCCUUCCCGAAGUCACCGGUUCGACUCCGGUUCAGUCCU